AUUGAACGCUGGCGGCAGGCCUAACACAUGCAAGUCGAACGAGUGGCGGACGGGUGAGUAAUGUCUGGGAAACUGCCCGAUGGCGGGGGAUAACUACUGGAAACGGUAGCUAAUACCGCAUACCAUCGGAUCUGCCCAUAUGGGAUUAGCUAGUAGGUGGGGUAACGGCUCACCUAGGCGACGAUCCCUAGCUGGUUUGAGAGGAUGACCAGCCACACUGGAACUGGGACACGGCCCAGACUCCUACGGGAGGCAGCAGUGGGGAAUCUUGCGCAAUGGGCGAAAGCCUGAUGCAGCAAUGCCGCGUGUAUGAAGAAGGCCUUCGGGUUGUAAAGUACUGUCAGUAGGGAGGCGGUACCGAAAGAGGAAGCACCGGCUAACUCCGUGCCAGCAGCCGCGGUAAUAC
rnacentral:rRNA from 1 species